GACGGACCACCCGAACGUUAUUCGGAAUCACUGGGCUUAAAGCGUGCGUAGGCGGUCCGGAAAGUAAGGUGUGAAAUCCCACAGCUCAACUGUGGAACUGCGCUUUAAACUGCCGGGCUAGAGGGAUAUAGAGGUGAGCAGAACAGAUGGUGGAGCGGUGAAAUGCGUUGAUAUCAUCUGGAAUACCGGAGGCGAAGGCGGCUCACUGGGUAUCUUCUGACGCUGAGGUACGAAAGCUAGGGUAGCGAAC
rnacentral:rRNA from 1 species